AUUGAACGCUGGCGGCAGGCUUAACACAUGCAAGUCGAGCGAGCGGCGGAAGGGUGAGUAAUGUCUGGGAGACUGCCUGAUGGAGGGGGAUAACUACUGGAAACGGUAGCUAAUACCGCAUACCAUCAGAUGUGCCCAGAUGGGAUUAGCUGGUAGGUGGGGUAAUGGCUCACCUAGGCGACGAGCCCUAGCGGGUCUGAGAGGAUGACCCGCCACACUUGAACUGAGACCGGAUCCAGACUCCUACGGGAGGCAGCAGGGGGGAAUAUUGCACAAUUGGCGCAAGCCUGAUGCAGCCAUGCCGCGUGUGUGAAGAAGGCCUUCGGGUUGUAAAGCACUUUCAGCCAGGAGGCGUUACUCGCAGAAGAAGCACCGGCUAACUCCGGGCCAGCCGCCGCGGUAAUAC
rnacentral:rRNA from 1 species